rnacentral:rRNA from 1 species
GACGAACGCUGGCGGCGUGCCUAACACAUGCAAGUCGAGCGGAGUCAGUAAGAGGAAGUUUUCGGAUGGAAUCUUAUUGAUUUAGCGGCGGACGGGUGAGUAACGCGUGAGCGACCAACCUUGCACAGGGGGAUAACGGACCGAAAGGUUCACUAAUACCGCAUGAGACCACGGUGUUGCAUGACACAGGGGUCAAAGGAGCAAUCCGGUGCAAGACGGGCUCGCGUCCGAUUAGGUAGUUGGAGGGGUAACGGCCCACCAAGCCUAUGAUCGGUAGCCGACCUGAGAGGGUGAUCGGCCACAUUGAAACUGAGAUACGGUCCAAACUCCUACAGGAGGCAGCAGUGGGGAAUAUUGGGCAAUGGGGGAAACCCUGACCCAGCAACGCCGCGUGAAGGAAGAAGGUUUUCGGAUUGUAAACUUCUGUCCUUGGUGAAGAGAAGAAGACGGUAGCCAAGGAGGAAGCCCCGGCUAACUACGUGCCAGCAGCCGCAGUAA